UGCAUACCUCUUCUCAAAGCAGAACAUGAUAUAAUGACCUGACACCUGUUUUGACAUUGUCAUUCUUUUGGCAUUACAAAAUUUCCUUUACAUUGCGUCACUGACAAAGUGAGCACAGGGUGGCAGCUGCUCCCUGCAGUGUUUUCCUGCUCGGGUCAGUCUCUCCUGGGGAAGCAAUGACAGAAACUAGGCCAGAUGGUGCGGGAGAGAGAGAGAGAGAGAGAGAGAGAGAGACAGAGCGGGCCGCUCUCAACCUGACCAACUGCACCACAUUCAAGGCUUUGAUCUAAAAUUGGCCUCUGUAGAAGACUUGUGUACAGUCAUUUUCAUAUGGGCUUUGAACAUAUUGAAAGGGCUCAUAGCUGCCGUCGCUUUUAUCCUCUGAUUCCUUUU
ensembl:lncRNA